rnacentral:tRNA from 1 species
UAUUAGUUAUCUUAAUUAUUAAAGAUUUAAUUUUUUAAAUUAAAGAUAAUAUUUUUAUAUUACUAGUAA